rnacentral:rRNA from 1 species
UGCGUAGGCGGCGCGGAAAGUUGGGUGUGAAAGCCCUCGGCUCAACCGAGGAAUUGCGCCCAAUACUACCGUGCUUGAGUGAGAUAGAGGUGAGCGGAACUUAGGGUGGAGCGGUGAAAUGCGUUGAUAUCCUAAGGAACACCGGUGGCGAAAGCGGCUCACUGGAUCUUUUCUGACGCUGAGGCACGAAAGCUAGGGGAGCAAACG